ACAGCAGUAGCCGCGGUAAUACGAAGGGUGCAAGCGUUACUCGGAAUUACUGGGCGUAAAGCGUGUGUAGGUGGUUGUUUAAGUCUGUCGUGAAAGCCCUGGACUCAACCUGGGAAUUGCGAUGGAUACUGGGCGACUAGAGUGCGGUAGAGGAUAGUGGAAUUUCCGGUGUAGCAGUGAAAUGCGUAGAGAUCGGAAGGAACAUCUGUGGCGAAGGCGACUAUCUGGGCCAACACUGACACUGAAACACGAAAGCGUGGGGAGCAAACAGGAUUAGAUACCCCCGUAGUCCCUGUCUCUUAUAC
rnacentral:rRNA from 1 species